GUGGGGGAUAUUGCACAAUGGGCGCAAGCCUGAUGCAGCGACGCCGCGUGAGGGAAGACGGUCUUCGGAUUGUAAACCUCUGUCAUCGGGGACGAUAAUGACGGUACCCGAUGAGGAAGCUCCGGCUAACUACGUGCCAGCAGCCGCGGUAAUACGUAGGGAGCAAGCGUUGUCCGGAAUUACUGGGUGUAAAGGGAGCGUAGGCGGGAAGGCAAGUUGAAUGUUUAAUCUAUGGGCUCAACCCAUAUCAGCGUUCAAAACUGCUUUUCUUGAGUGAAGUAGAGGUUGGCGGAAUUCCUAGUGUAGCGGUGAAAUGCGUAGAUAUUAGGAGGAACACCAGUGGCGAAGGCGGCCAACUGGGCUUUUACUGACGCUGAGGCUCGAAAGCGUGGGGAGCAAACAGG
rnacentral:rRNA from 1 species